GGUGGAGCGAGUGAGGAGCUCUGCCAUGGGGAUGCUGUGGGAAGUUGCCUUUCAGCGUUUGCCAAGGUGUAUUCGACCUUACGAACCUAAAAAUGGUACUCUCCAGGGAGACCAAGGAAGAUGUUGCAGCCAGGAGUGGCCAUCAGAUCCUGGAGGAAGCUGUGGCAGAGGUUAACAGAGGAAAAUGGACCAUGUUAUACAGGUGGCUUAACUUACUGUUGUUAUGCAUACAGCUGUGGAGGAAUGUUGCCUUCAUUCCACAAGAAUCCUGGCCAAGGAGAAGAGCUGAGAACUGUUAAAUAUGAGGAGAUGUUUCUCAGUUGACUUCUGAGGACUUACAGCCUUCCCGGGCUCCCAAGAUCCAAGGAUGCCCUCUUACCUUGUCUUUUAUCCUUUCAUGGAAGCAUCUAAAGAAAAACUGGAAACUGCAGUGAUACAUGAACAAUUCACAGGCAACGUGAAACUACCUAUAAACACCAAAUGAAGUCAAAGACCAUUUUACUGUCAUACUGGUGUCAUUUUGUGAAGCAUUUGAAAUUAAAAUACUCUGGACACAUAAAGGAAGCAGAUUUGCAUCUUUCUAGCAAGAAGAGCAGAAGUGGCCAGUCACUGUUGCCAGGACUAUUCUGCCUUUUUCAGAAGAACUUCUCAAGGAGCCCAGGUCCCCAAGGGGGAAAUUUUGACCCUGGUGAAGUCAAGGGAACCUUCAGUCUCUUUCAUUAAGACAAGAGCCAUCCCUCAUCCCAUGAAACUGUGAAAUGUGGAAAGGAAAGGAGAAACUGUUUCCUUGCGUAUUGCCAUGAGGCUAAAGAUAAAUUGAAGGUGGCAUAGAGCAGUGAAAGAGCAACAGCCUUUAGAAGCCCUCUCCAAAAGCAGAGUUAGUGAAAUACUUUCCAAACAUCUGCAGGAACAGUGCUACAUCAGCCUUCCAGCGGCCUGGUUGAAAAGACUGUCCUUUAAUCUAAACCAUACUCCCUGGGAUUUCUUAAU